rnacentral:rRNA from 1 species
GGAUGAGCCCGCGGCCUAUCAGCUUGUUGGUGGGGUAAUGGCCUACCAAGGCUUUGACGGGUAGCCGGCCUGAGAGGGUGACCGGCCACACUGGGACUGAGACACGGCCCAGACUCCUACGGGAGGCAGCAGUGGGGAAUAUUGGACAAUGGGCGGAAGCCUGAUCCAGCAACGCCGCGUGAGGGAUGACGGCCUUCGGGUUGUAAACCUCUUUCAGCACAGACGAAGUUUUGCUUUUUUGGGUGAAGUGACGGUAUGUGCAGAAGAAGGACCGGCCAACUACGUGACAGCAGCCGCGGCCG